AACAAAACCUCAUCUCACCACCGCUCCACAGUCAGAUUCCAUCGAGAAGACUGAGACCAAGAUCGAAAGAGUGAAGAGAACUGAAUAGCGAAAGAACCCCCCAACUGCGGUGUGAGCCAGAACCCUAAGCUUCCACACCAAACCCCUAUCCUCGACCCGUUUUUCAAACCCGACAGGAAUCAUAACCGGAGCUCCAGCUUCUUGACAACUGCCCAACACCCAAAUAAAACACAGCCCGGAAUUCUCUAUCCCACGCGCCAAAUCGUGCAUGGAGUCUCGACUCAGUGUCACCUCCGUCCCCAGUAAUUGCAGCCAUUCUUGCUUUUAUCGAAAUCCAAACUGCGGUUCUUCAAAUCUUUGAUUCAAGCAGGUUAGUGAUCAGAGAUAUCCGAAUUAUGGUGUAUAAUGUGAUUGGUUUUUCGAUCAAAAGUCCGGAGAGACGGAGGAGAUAGCAGAGGAAGAAGGAGAGGAACUGGACUGUCAGUCCGAGUAGUCUGUCUAAUAAGAUUGAUUCAGAGAUGCAGUUUUGAUCGUAUCCUGCCUUGAAAUCUGGAACCCAGAUAAAUAAAAAUCUACAACUGUUAUAGUAACUAUUGACACAGCGAGCAAGUG